rnacentral:tRNA from 1 species
UCCCCGAUAGCUCAGUUGGUAGAGCAGCGGACUGUUAAUCCGCCUGUCGCUGGUUCGAGUCCAGCUCGGGGAGCCA